rnacentral:rRNA from 1 species
CCCAGUCGUGGGGGAUAACGUAGCGAAAGUUACGCUAAUACCGCAUACGUCCUGAGGGAGAAAGCGGGGGACCGUAAGGCCUCGCGCGAUUGGAGCGGCCGAUGUCGGAUUAGCUAGUUGGUGGGGUAAAGGCCUACCAAGGCAACGAUCCGUAGCGGGUCUGAGAGGAUGAUCCGCCACACUGGGACUGAGACACGGCCCAAACUUCUACGGGAGGCAGCAGUGGGGAAUUUUGGACAAUGGGCGAAAGCCUGAUCCAGCCAUGCCGCGUGAGUGAAGAAGGCCUUCGGGUUGUAAAGCUCUUUCAGACGGAAAGAAAUCUUCUGGGCUAAUACCCCGGGAGGAUGACGGUACCGUAAGAAGAAGCACCGGCUAACUACGUGCCAGCAGCCGCGGUAAUACGUAGGGUGCGAGCGUUAAUCGGAAUUACUGGGCGUAAAGCGUGCGCAGGCGGUGAUGUAAGACAGAUGUGAAAUCCCCGGGCUCAACCUGGGAACUGCGUUUGUGACUGCAUCACUCGAGUACGGCAGAGGGAGGUGGAAUUCCGCGUGUAGCAGUGAAAUGCGUAGAGAUGCGGAGGAACACCGAUGGCGAAGGCAGCCUCCUGGGCCAGUACUGACGCUCAUGCACGAAAGCGUGGGGGAGCAAAC